rnacentral:lncRNA from 1 species
UGCGAAGUACGUUCAUUGCCAGUAAAAAAAGAUUCAUCGAUUUUAAUGUCAUAAUGAAUAUAAAGAGGCGUAGAUACUAAAUACGAUAACCACUCUUUAAUAUGGCUCUUAUUUAUAAGCCCGUGGACAUAACUAGUUUUGUGAAUCAACUUCUUUUUCAAAUGCACAUAAAAGCAGUGGUCAUCUUCAAUGUUUCUUGGCAAUUGUUUCACCAUUGUAUUAACUUCAACAGGUACAUUAAUUAUCUGUCCAUAAAUACCAUACUGACCAUUAACGUGUCUCAGUCUACGAAUCUGCAUGAACGGUACUCUCGGGGAAAUCAACCGUUGCUCGAUAAGGUUUAACGUUGGUAAAUGUGAUGGAAUUUUCGGAUAUGCAAAACCAUUGUAGGUUGACAUGAGAGGAAUUUUUUCGUUUUGCAAAGAUGUAUAACACGUAGAGCAGACUUGAACAAUUUCACCAGAAAAUGUAAAGUCAUCUACCGUGGUAAAGUAUAGAGAAGGUGCAGGUUCAAUGGCGGACAUUUGUUACGAAGCAUCUCGACAAGAGAGAAUUUAUAGCUGCAUUGCCGUGCAUAUUACUUGUGGAGACUCCACAUUGCUCAUAGCAGAAAACGAAAGAGGUUAACAAGGAGAAAAAGAAAUCAUUUGGACCAUUGGUAAAAUUCAAAUCUAUAGCGUGCAGCAACCAAAUAAUGGAAAAAUGUAAAGUCAUCUACCGUGGUAAAGUAUAGAGAAGGUGCGGGUUCAAUGGCGGACAUUUGUUACGAGGCAUCUCGACAAGAGAGAAUUUAUAGCUGCAUUGCCGUGCAUAUUGCUUGUGGAGACUCCACAUUGCUCAUAGCAGAAAACGAAAGAGGUUAACAAGGAGAAAAAGAAAUCAUUUGGACCAUUGGUAAAAUUCAAAUCUAUAGCGUGCAGCAACCAAAUAAUGGAGUAUGUUUUAAAUUAUUAAAGUUAAAUAGUGUAUAUUUCAUUCAAAUAUUUGUUAUAGAUUGUGCAUUUUAUUUUGAGUUUGUUAUUAAAUAAAGAGAAAAAAAAUAUUUCGCUCAUGAGUCAUCCUGCAUCCAGACACUACCGCCUUUGUGGUAUGCAACAUUUUUCGUCACCGCAAUGUGUUUUUUACGCCACACAGCGUCACCUGUGUGUGACGUUUUAAGCGUCAGGCAUACUUCCGUUACGAAAUUUCUGCAUUCGGUCCCCUCGCUCAGAAGCUGCGUAAAAAUCUA